rnacentral:tmRNA from 1 species
GGGGGUGACUUGGCUUCGACAGGAGUGGAGUGAUCACAGUGGCAUGUCGCUUUGAACAAAGCGUUAAAAGUUCAAAUUAAAAUUAAACGCAAAUAACGUUAAAUUUGCUCCUGCUUACGCAAAAGUAGCGUAAGUUCAGUUGAGCCUUGCUAAGUGCUGAUACUAUUUAGGUGCUUGUGCGAGUCAUUUUUAAUAGUGUAGUUUAGGUGUUUGACGAGCAUUUAGAUGAAAUUUUAGUCUUAGUCUAAAAGUAUGGUUUUGGAAAGUGAGCCUUUUUAGAUGAAUUUUUCACUUUUGCUAAACAUGUAGAGGCUUUGAAAUUUUGCUUUUGGACUGCGGUUCGACACCGCACACCUCCACCA